AAUAUAGUCAGAAUUGUUGUUUUUUUCUAAUAUAGGCUCAAAAAAAGUUCAGGUGCAGAAAACGUCAUCCAAUAAUGUUUUCCAACAACAAGAGUCGGAAGAAAAAGAACUUUCAAGGAUUGACUCUUCGAGCUCCCAGUUUUUUUCGUUUCUCGAUGAUUUACCGACAACAAAGAAACCAGAAACACCAAAAAAGAAGACACCAGGCGAGAAAGCAAAACCAAAGAAGACAGAGGGCGUGACAGGUGCAAAAAGAAAGGCGUUAACAGCGGGACCAUCCACCAGUAAGAAAAAGAAGGCGUAUGAAGGCUCUGAAAUGGGUCAUGGUGGCGAGAUCAUGUUUGAGCUUUCGAUGAUGAAGUAUUUGACAGCAAAUAAAAAGGACGGAAAAUUAACGGUUGGUAUCAGAGAAUUUUACCAUGAUGAUGGGCAGUUACUGCCAAGUAAAGAAGGUAACUUCCAUUUCUUGCCGUUAUU